rnacentral:lncRNA from 1 species
AUGCGAGAAUAUAUUAAAUACCGAGGAGCCAAGAUUAUUGAUCUCAGCCAGGUGACAGGCCCCAAGGCCACGCAGGAGGAGAAGUGGAUCAAUUACGUUAAUGUGAUCAACUUCAUCAAGCCUUGGAGGGCAGCCGGGAAACCUUUCGGUCAGUGUCUUCGUGUGCCUUUUGACAUUUAAUUGACGUUUUUUUCAGCGAGAGUUCAGCUGGGGUUUCAAAAGACUUUUUCAGAUGUGCCUUUGUUUUAAAAAUUUUUGCUAUUCUAACAUGGGAACAUGUUUAAUCUUACUAUCCUGUCAUCGUGUUUUCAGCUGCAUUUGGGUUUUUUAAAAAAUAAUUUGGGGAGCCGUCCCUGGGUCUCCGCACAGCAAGAAAGACAGGACAAGACAUGGGGGGUGGGCAGAACUGUAGGAGCUAAAGGGUUUGUUUAGCUUCAAGGGGCACAAAAAAUAGAAGAAGCUGCCUGGUACGAGGACAGAACCUUGACCCGUGUAGUCAAAUAUUACCAACUCUUGAAGGCCAGCAGUGCGUUCCUUCCCAGCCUACCUGGAGAUCCCUACUAUUCUUGGAUAUUAUUUUCUUUCUGGCCGUCUGUUUGGGACCUUGUUGCUUACGAGUCGCAAUAACUCUCUCUGGUCUCCCGCAGUGUGUGACCGACUCUGGUUGUGGACCAGCUAAAGGAGGAAAAGAGAAAGAAAGAAAAAAAGAGAGGAGGAGGAAAACAAGGACAGCCCGUGAGAUCUUGGUACUUUAAUUAAACUUGACCGCACCCAGGAAAGGACACGUCAACUGUCGGUUCUCUGCUUUUUUUGGGGGGGGGACAAAAACAAGGGCCCUGCUGGGGGGAAAAGAAAUGGCUCCUUCUCAACCAAGGGAUGGCAAAGCUGAGGGUUAAAAACCAGCCAGGCUCCCCAUUCAGCAAAGAGUAAACAUGUCCUUGCUUUUUUUCUCCAGUGUUUUGCAA